rnacentral:tRNA from 1 species
GGUGGCUCAGUGGUAGAGCACUUGCCCUGCAAGCAUGGGGCCCUGAGUUCGAUUCCUCAGUACCA